rnacentral:rRNA from 1 species
UAGGGAAUAUUAGUAAUGGGCGAGAGCCUGAACCAGCCAAGUCGCGUGAAGGAAGAAGGAUCUAUGGUUCGUAAACUUCUUUUGCAGGGGAAUAAAGUGCAGGACGCGUCCUGUUUUGUAUGUACCCUGAGAAUAAGGAUCGGCUAACUCCGUGCCAGCAGCCGCGGUAAUACGGAGGAUCCGAGCGUUAUCCGGAUUUAUUGGGUUUAAAGGGUGCGUAGGUGGUUUAAUAAGUCAGCGGUGAAAGUUUGCAGCUUAACUGUAAAAAUGCCGUUGAAACUGUUAGACUUGAGUGUAAAUGAGGUAGGCGGAAUGCGUGGUGUAGCGGUGAAAUGCUUAGAUAUCACGCAGAACUCCGAUUGCGAAGGCAGCUUACCAAGCUACAACUGACACUGAAGCACGAAAGCGUGGGGAUCAAACA